UGCUCAAUACGAAAUCAUACAUUUUAUGGAACUAUCUUGCUGACAUGGGAAGAGAGUGCAGUAGUCACAGGUUAGCAUAAACAGGGACACAAGUAGUUGCUUUUCUGUUUAUUCAAUAAAUAUUUGUUGUGUACCCGCCAUAUGCCUGGUAGUGGUGUAGGCCCUGGGGAAUACCGUAAUCAGAAGGAGGAAGGACAAAUAUGGGUGGUACGUGCUUUGCAGAGAAUCAGAAUAGGGUAAAGUGGUUGACAAUCUUAGAUUGGCUGCAGCUGGAGGGUCUUGGUGACAAUUGAGACUGGAAUGGCAAAUAUCUGGACAAAUAUCCCAUCAAAAUGGAAGAACAAAGCUAACAUUCAGGCAAUUAGGAAGCUAUUCCACAGCGUGUGCCAAAAGGUGGCUUGGAUGCUGGGAGUGCUGGGGAACGCUGAGAAAACUCUGUUUGUAAUAUUUUGAAACUGGAGCCUAUGGGAACUUGCUAAUGAGUUGGGUGUUGAGUUUGUGAGGGAGAAAGUAUUCAAGGAUAAUUUCUAGCUGUUUUGGCUUAGGAGAUUCUGUAGGUGGUAGUGCCAUUUAUAAGAUGUGAAACUUGGGAAGAACAGUUGGGAAAAGGGAAAUCAAGAAGUAUGGUCUGGUCAUGUUCAGUUUCAAAUGCCUUGUAGACAUCCCUGAUGUCAGGGAGGCACUGGCAUAAACAGGUCAUUAUCAAUAGACUCUUAAGCCUUGGGGCUGAUUGGAUGACCUAUCAGAGAAUGUGUAGCUAAAGAAAGGGGCGGAAGGUAAAGCUCUAGGAUUCUUCCUUUAGAGGUCAAGUAGAGGAGGAAAAGGAGCCACAGAGGCAGGAGAACAUGCAACGCAGGAGCCCCACGACUAUCAGAUUCAACACUCAGGUGUAACGGAGACCAAGCUGCAGUCACUAACCUAUGGAAGACCCCUAGGCUGCACUAUAUUCCCUGGAGCUGCUGGAAUCCAGCUCCAGGAGAUGAGCUGGGGCAAACAGGAGAGAGAGAGCUGUGGCAAGUAGAUGACAACAUCCAGUGUGCUUCACUGUGAACCACAGUAAGAUCAAUGAAAGUCACACCUUGGGGUUUUUUGGAGGAAGCCCUGGUGGUUCUGUGAGGUUUGCUCUAAAAAAAUUUCCCAUGAGAAAUGGUGCAGAAAAUGGAGGCUUCUCUGACAUGAGAGCCCAGAGGUUAUUUCUCUGCUUUUUGACAUCAGUAUCUUAGAGAACUAAACCAAUCUCAUCUUUUAUCAGCACUUCUACAACCAUGAUCAUCAGCUCUGUUCUUCCAGCUUGUAUCUGAUUCAGAUGCAGCU